rnacentral:tRNA from 1 species
UACACCUUAGUGUAGGGCGCACAUAAGUUUUUGAUACUUAAAGGGGUAGUUUAAGUCUGCCUGGUGUAA